rnacentral:rRNA from 1 species
UACGUAGGGGGCAAGCGUUGUCCGGAUUUAUUGGGCGUAAAGAGCGUGUAGGCGGCCAUGUAGGUCCGUUGUGAAAACUCGAGGCUCAACCUCGAGACGCCGAUGGAAACCAUGUGGCUAGAGUCCGGAAGAGGAGAGUGGAAUUCCUGGGUGUAGCGGUGAAAUGCGCAGAUAUCAGGAAGAACACCCGUGGCUAAGGCGGCUCUCUAGUACGGUACUGACGCUGAGACGCGAAAGCGUGGGGGAGCGAACA